AGAUAUUUCUCCCACAUCUGUCCUCGCUCCUCCCCCACUACAUCUCUCUCACUUGCACCCCCUCCUCCAGAUCCGCUUCACCGACGCGCCCGACACCGUCGCCUCGCUCCUCCGCGGCCACCGGCCACCUCCCGCUUCGCCGUCGUGUCCGCGAAGGCCGUCUCCAUCCUCUACGUCCUCCACGCCAACGCACUGGAGCCGAUGGCCGCUAUGACGCUGCCCCGAGCCGUCUUCCUCAUCAGGACCACGCCACCGUCUCCGUCGACGCUGGCCGCCUCUGCGCUCCCGUUACUCGACGGGCCUUCGUGCGCCCUCCCGCCAGAUGGUGGAUCCCUGGAGCCAGAUGCCACCGCCGACGGAUACUGCUACAUGAAGGCCGCCGAAGAUCAGGAGUAGUUAGGAGGUCCCAGGCAGGAGGCCUUGCCUCUUCGAUCGUUGUUGUUUUGUGUUUGCCUUCUUAAGGCAUCCUUGUUUAACUUAUGUCUGUACUCAGAUAUUGUUGCUUCCGCUGACGCUUGUGUAUCGAGCUUGUACUCGAGCCCUCGAGGCCCCUGGCUUGUAAUAUGAAGCUUGUAUUAUUUCUUUUUGUGUC